rnacentral:rRNA from 1 species
AGUGAACGCUGGCGGCGUAGCUAAGGCAUGCAAGUCGAACGAACUUAGGUGAGGGUAACUGAUCCUAGGUUAGUGGCGAACGGGAGCGUAAUACAUAGGUAACGUACCCUGGGCAUGGGGAUAACGGCGGGUGGCAACACCCUUCGCGAAAGUGCCGUUAAUACUCAAUGAUGUCAGAGAAUCGCAUGGUUUUCUGACCAAAGGUGGCGCAAGCUACCAGCCUUGGAGCGGCUUAUGUCCUAUCAGGUAGUUGGUGAGGUAACGGCUCACCAAGCCUGCGACGGGUAGCGGGGCUGAGAGGUUGACCCGCCUCAUCGGAACUGAGAUACUGUCCGGACACCUACGGGUGGCUGCAGCAACGAAUAUUGGGCAAUGGGCGAAAGCCUGACCCAGCGACGCCGCGUGCGGGGAAUGAAGCCCUUCGGGGUGUAAACCGCUGUCAGGGUUAAUCAAGCGACCGGCGUGAAUAAUGCCGGAAGUUGAGAUAUCCCAGAGGAAGCCACGGCUAACUCCGUGCCAGCCGCCGC